GUGCUCUCUUUGGCAGCACAUAUACUAAAUUGGAAGGAUGCAGAGAAGAUUAGCAUGGCUCC
rnacentral:snRNA from 14 species